AUGAUCAGUAGCUGGUCUGAGAGGAUGAUCAGCCACACUGGGACUGAGACACGGCCCAGACUCCUACGGGAGGCAGCAGUGAGGAAUUUUCCGCAAUGGGCGACAGCCUGACGGAGCAAUGCCGCGUGAAGGACGAAGGCCUAUGGGUUGUAAACUUCUUUUCUCAGAGAAGAAUUCGACGGUAUCUGAGGAAUAAGCAUCGGCUAACUCUGUGCCAGCAGCCGCGGUAAGACAGAGGAUGCAAGCGUUAUCCGGAAUGAUUGGGCGUAAAGCGUCUGUAGGUGGCUUAAAAAGUCUCCUGUCAAAGAUCAGGGCUUAACCCUGGGCCGGCAGGAGAAACUCUUAGGCUAGAGUUUGGUAGGGGCAGAGGGAAUUCCCGGUGGAGCGGUGAAAUGCGUAGAGAUCGGGAGGAACACCAAAGC
rnacentral:rRNA from 1 species